ensembl:lncRNA
CUGACACACUCAAACACGCACACAUGCCCUCCUCCCCCAUGCUGCAGUGUCUCAACUGCCUUGGAGCAAACCAGAGAGGAAAUAGAACAGACAAUAAUAAGAGAGACGAGAAAGAGGGGGAUAUAAAGAGAGAGAGUAUGAGUGGAAGAAAGAGUGUGUUAUAGGAGAAUGUUGGACUAAGAGUGGAUUGCACACUGCUUAUCUCUCCCAUGCGAGUGUUUGUCUGCAGUAUCCCUGGUGAACGGACCCUGGACAUUGAAACGGUAAGCCUGCCUGCUUUAUUUUCUCACACUCUUUCUUUUUGUCAUCACCACUAAGUUGGCCCUCUUUGUUUGGCUGGGGUGAGGAGUUUCUGUGUAAUUGGAUUCAAGUGGAGGAACAGGAUCUUUUUUUCUCCUCAUGAAGGUGAUGUUCUGAGAUGGCACCAAGUCAAGGCUGUUUCUCCAGUUCCCUCCUCUCUGUGUAGGUGGACUAGGAGAGACAGUGUCUGUGUACAUAUCCUCCUUGAUACAGCCUUCAUAGAUACAGUAUAUGGUUAUGUUGGGUAAUGGUAAAUAGGGAUGUGUGCGUGCUCUGUCCAUCUCAUCGUUCAUGAGCGAAUGAGAAUGAGAGAGGUAAGAGAGGUAAGAGAAGAAGAGAGGUAAGAGAAGAAGAGGUAAGAGAAGAAGAGGUAAGAGAGGGAGAGAGGUAAGAGAGGUAAGAGAGGGAGAGAGGUGAGAGAGGUAAGAGAGGGAGAGAGGUAAGAGAGGUAAGAGAGGUGAGAGAGGUAAGAGAGGGAGAGAAGUAAGAGAGGGAGAGAAGUAAGAGAGGUGGGAGAGAGAGGAGAGGUAAGAGUGGGAGAGAAGAGAGGUGGGAGAGAGGUAGGAGAGAAGUAAGAGAGGUGUGAGGGAGAGAAGUAAGAGAGGUGGGAGAGAGGUAAGAGGGAGAGAGAUAAGAGAGAGGGAAAGCGGUGAGAGGGAGAGAGGUAAGAGAGCCAAUAAAAGUACUGUCACGUAGGAUCUGCUGAUGACUGGCUUAGCGAGACAAUGAAUGUGACUGUGCGGUGGGAGGUGCACACACCCCAUGGAGUGUUGCUCUGCAGGCAGGCACUGGGCUGGACAGAUGAGCAGUGGCUUCACACCGGCAUUUUAGCAUCUGCCCUUGCAGCGCUCUGCCUGCCAUCCCACAUCAACAAUAACAUCAGCACAUCGAUCGAGAACCGUGUUGACCCAGGAUGGGUGUGUGCGAGUGUGAUUCUGAGAAAGUGACAGAGUGUGUGUGUUUCCUGCUCUCCAGUGGCCACAGCAGUGAGGGUCAUUUGUGACAUUUUGUGUCUCUACAAUCCCUCAUAUCGCUAAUGGAGCAUUGCCAUGACUCGUGGAGUGGGGGUUAUUCGGCAACGCAGGGGUGUGUGUGUAUGUGUGUGUGUGUGUGAGAGAGAACCUGCGCAGGGAGGGGUCGAGAGGCUAGGGGUUUUAACAGUAGGGAGAGAGGAGAGAUGGAGAGAAUGUAAGGAUAAACAUUGAGGGGACAGGGCUGUUUAGCCAAGUGUCAGCUGGAGAUGAUGGACGAUGUUGACUUGAGAACUGGCUGCAUGCGAUAGGCCCAAAGAAUGAAGUGAAACAGCCAACAUCCAGGCCCUCGGACAUCUAAAAAUGGAGGCAAAAAUUGUGGAAUAAAAUGCCUUGGGAACCUCUGGAGGAACACAGAUAGUGAAAUGAACCAGAGGAUGUGAGAUGAAUAGCAACCUCUCCUCUGCUCCUCGCAACCUACAAAAGCAGACCACAUUGCAUGAAUUUCUUUGCAAUAUUAAUGUAAACGGGGAGAGAAUAUAAAUGCACCGACGAUGGCAAACUGAAAUCAAGACUAGCAUUUAUUAUAGCACUUGAUGAUACAGGCUGGCUUUAAUGUGAUUAUACCAUAUUCAUGUCAUGAAGUGCCUAUUGAGCAAACAUUGGAGGAAUACAGGAUCUGCUUUCACAAAUGAAUUAGCUUGUCACUAUUUAAAUGUAAGAUUACAUACACAGACUACUAACAGAUCACUGUUUUUCUCUCCUUUUCACAAAUUGUAUGGCAAUAUUUUAUAUAUAAUUUUUCUGGCUAUGUAACUGCAGUGUAACUUCUACAUACAAAGGAUAGACAGCCAAAGCAUGUCUAGUGUCACUCUUGAAAUCAUCAAUCCCAAUAAAUCAAAUAAAAUCAUUGUUCAAUCUAAAUACCUAUCAUAUUUUUGAUGUGAUAUUAUAAUAAAUGUGAUGAAUUCAAAUCUAUAACAAUUUCACCUUCAAUGUGUAAGAUGUCAUAAGGUUAGGUUUACACAUAGAAUGUGCUAGAAGGACCAUGUAGAGUAAAAAUGUGACGUGUACCAAGCAAAUGUAACAACAACCAAGCCCAAAUAUACUAUAUAUACAGAAGUAUGUGGACACCCCUUCAAAUGAGUGGAUUUGGCUAUUUCAGCCACACCUGUUGUUGACAGGUGUAUAAAAUGGAGCACAUAGCCAUGAAAUCUCCAUAGACAAACAUUUGCAGUAGAAUGGCCUUACUGAAGAGCUCAGUGACUUUCAACGUGGCACUGUCAUAGGAUGCCACCUUUCCAGCAAGCCAGCUUGUCAAAUUUCUGCCCUGCUAGAGCUGCCCCGGUCAACUGUAACAGCUGUUAUUGUGAAGUGGAUACGUCUAGAAGCAACAGCGGCGAAGUAGUAUGCCACACAAGCUCACAGAAAGGGACUGCUGAAGCACAUAGUACGUAAAAAUCAUGCAACACUCACUACUGAGUUCCAAACUGCCUCUGGAAGCAACAUCAGCACAAGAACUGUUCGUUGGGAGCUUCAUGAAAUGGGUUUCCAUGGCCGAGCAGCUGCAUACAAGCCUAAGAUCAACAUGCACGAUGCCAAGCGUCGGCUGGAGUGGUGUAAAGCUCGCUGCCAUUGGACUCUGGAGCAGUGGAAGCGCUUUCUCUGGAGUGAUGAAUCACGCUUCACCAUCUGGCAGUCCGGUAGACGAAUCUGUGUUUGGCAGAUACCAGGAGAACGCUAUGCACAGUGCCAACUGUAAAGUUUGGUGGGGGAUAAAUAAUGGUCUGGGGCUGUUUUUCAUGGUUCGGGCUAGGCCCCUUAGUUCCAGUGAAGGGAAAUCUUAACGCUACAACAUACAAUGACAUUCUAGACGAUUAUGUUCUUCCAAC